rnacentral:rRNA from 1 species
UACAGAGGUCUCAAGCGUUGUUCGGAUUCAUUGGGCGUAAAGGGUGCGUAGGCGGCGCGGUAAGUCGGGUGUGAAAUCUCGGGGCUUAACUCCGAAACUGCAUUCGAUACUGCUGUGCUUGAGGACUGGAGAGGAGACUGGAAUUUACGGUGUAGCGGUGAAAUGCGUAGAUAUCGUGAGGAAGACCCAUGGCGAAAGCAUGUCUCUGGAAACUACCUGACGCUGAUGCUCGAAGGCCGGGGGAGCAAACGGG